rnacentral:lncRNA from 1 species
UUCAAUAUCAUACUCAGAGUCACUUGAAGGUGCUUCCUUCCUUUUCUUAGUAGGAGCCACAACCUUGCUCCAACCUUUAGCAGGUCCAACAAUAAAACUUUACUUGGGAGCCUUAGAUGGCUUUCUUUCAGAUGCAACAUCCUUCCCUAUUUUAUUCCUUAAUCUUUUAGCAAUACUCGAAGCAAAUCAAUUUGUAAUAGGCUUAUCAUCAGAAUCUAGAUCAUCAACAUUUACAAUAUUAAUAGACUUAUCCUUCUUCACACCAGUAAUUU